rnacentral:lncRNA from 1 species
CAGGUGUCUAUCUGUCUGUUGGUGUUGUUUAUCCUCCAGGUGUCUGUCUGUCUGUUGGUGUUGUUUAUCCUCCAGGUCUCUGUCUGUUGGUGUUGUUUAUCCUCCAGGUGUCUGUCUGUUGGUGUUGUUUAUCCUCCAGGUCUCUGUCUGUCUGUUGGUGUUGUUUAUCCUCCAGGUCUCUGUCUGUCUGUUGGUGUUGUUUAUCCUCCAGGUCUCUGUCUGUCUGUUGGUGUUGUUUAUCCUCCAGGUCUCUGUCUGUCUGUUGGUGUUGUUUAUCCUCCAGGUCUCUGUCUGUUGGUGUUGUUUAUCCUCCAGGUCUCUGUCUGUUGGUGUUGUUUAUCCUCCAGGUCUCUGUCUGUUGGUGUUGUUUAUCCUCCAGGUGUCUGUCUGUUGGUGUUGUUUAUCCUCCAGGUGUCUGUCUG